UACGAAGGGGGCUAGCGUUGCUCGGAAUCACUGGGCGUAAAGCGCACGUAGGCGGCUUUCUAAGUCAGAGGUGAAAGCCCGGAGCUCAACUCCGGAACUGCCUUUGAUACUGGGGAUCUCGAGUCCGGAAGAGGUGAGUGGAACUCCGAGUGUAGAGGUGAAAUUCGUAGAUAUUCGGAAGAACACCAGUGGCGAAGGCGGCUCACUGGUCCGGUACUGACGCUGAGGUGCGAAAGCGUGGGGAGCAAACAGG
rnacentral:rRNA from 1 species